UAAAUCAUCAUUUUUAUUAGGUGGAUAUUGCGUAUGCGCCAUUUGUUGUCGAAAGGUUCAAGCCUUUGUUUUCAGAGGUAAAGAAUUAUGACGUCACCAAAGGCAGGCCAAAGCUGACCAAAUGGAUUGAGGAGUUGAACAAGAUUGAUGCUUAUACAGCAACUAAGCAUGAUCCGACAGAGUUACUUGGUGGCAUUAAGAAACGAUUGGGAUUGAAUGAAGGUCCUCAAUGCCCCUUGCAGAAAUCGCGCAUUUGAGUUGACAUCCUGUGUUCUGAUGAGGUUCAUGCUGUUCUUCUGCUUUGUGAUGUACAAUAAAUAAAGUGUAGGUUUGAGGGGUAUGUUUGUGUGUAGUAUAACAAAAGAGUAUUAAGCCUUUAGGGAU